AACAGACUUAGUAUAUUUUGAAAUUUGAUUUCUAAACCAUGCAGUCCAAAUUCAAAAUUAAUAUGGUUACUAUGAUUAGAAUGUGUCAGGAAAAGAGAUCUCAUGAUCUAUUAAUAUCUCUAUAUUGUGAUGUUUGCAUCAUUAAACUAAAAGGAAGAACCUAACUUCUUUUAAUAAUUGGAGACAGUGAAAUUAUUUUUUUCCUCAAAAAUCUCAACUACUAUACAGAUUAUUAUUAUUCCUUGUCCUAAAACCUUAGGGCCAGAAGUGUUUCAAAUUGUGGGUGAAUAUAUACCAUCAUUUAAUUCCUAGUCUGAAAAUCUGAAAUUAGAAAUGUUCCAAAAUCUGAUUUUAAGCAUCAAGUUUUGAACUUUGCAGCAUUUUUUAAUUUUAGGAUUAGUAGUGUCCAAACUCAUUUUUCUUUUUACUUGGCUAAGAAGUUUACUAUUGAAUGAAUAUAUAUAUAUACAUACACACACAUACACACAUACACAUACACAUAUGCAUAUAUAUAUAUAUAUAUAUAUAUAUAUCCAUUAUUAUUAUCUUUGGUUCAGAAACUGUGACUGCAUGUAGAUCCCAUCAUUUGUGUCAAAAUGGACAAAAUGUGUUUAUUUAGAGCUCACAUAGGAAUUUUACAUCCUUUUUUAAAACCUCUGCCCAUAAAAUAGGCUUUAUUUUCCAAAUCAUUGUUAAAUUAUAAGAAUUUUACCAUAACUUAGGUAUCACAUUUAUUGUAAAAGUAAACAAAAACAUUACAAAUGUCUUCAUAAGUUUAAUUUUCCAAAAGAUCAUUGUUUUGCAGAGGUGAGUGAUUAACAGCUACUUCAUUUGCAUGACCCAUUCUUUGCUACAUUUUUUUUCCCAAAGAGAUGGAGUUUUAACUAAAGGUUAUAGGUGAUUUUAUUGCUAUUUCCUGGGGUUUGUUUUGUUGUGAAAGGAAUGCUUUAAAUCACAAAAGUUUAAUUCACAUUUCAAGAAAUAAAUUUUUGUUUAUUGCUUCUUCCUAAAACAUCUGUCCUUUGGAACUGUCUUAGAAAAGGAGUAGGGGUCUGGAUAUGAAUAUGUAAAUAAAUUAAUCAUGCAAUUCACUCAUGGUUAUUUACAGUUGAGUUUGUUUGUUUGGUUGGUUGGUUGGUUGGGUGGUUGGUUUAUUGCUAGGUUUUUCAAGACAGGGUCUCUCUGUUUAACUCUGGAUUCACUUUCUGGACUAGGCUGGCCUUGAAUUCAGAUCUGCCUGCCUCUGCCUCCCCAGUGCUGGGAUUAAAGGCGUGCCUACUUUUGACUCUUUUAAGUGCAGUCAUUGAUUAAAUAUUUUUCUUCCUUUUAGAAUUAUCUAAAGCAAUUAGGUAAAUGCUGCUAUAGCUAAAUUAUUUGAGGUUGUUUGAAGGAAUGAAUAUUUUCUGUAGUAUUUAUUUGUAUUUAUCUUUUUGAACUACAAGGCAUUUUUUUUUCCUCUAUCUUGGGGAUUAAGUACUUCAGGUUUGCUAGCCAAGUGCUCUACCACUGAGCUGCAACCCCAACCAUAAAAUGGGAGACUUUUAAAAAAGAUUUCGUUUACACUUAAGUAUUUUUUCUUAAAUUUUGGAUGUUGUAAUUAUGUUAACAUUUUUAAUUAUUAGAAUUCACUUAAAAUAAUUUAAAUGAGGCUAGAAAAAUGGUUCAGUAAUUAAGUGCAAGUGCUGCUCUUCUAGGGACCCAAAUUCAGUCCCCAGCACCCACAGCAGCUGGCUGAUAACUACCUGUAAUUCUAGCCUUGGGGUCUGACACCUCUUUUGGCCCCCACAGGCACUGAAUUCACAUGUACCAAUACAUAUGCAUGCAUUAUUAAAAUAAAUUUAGAAAUCAUUACUAUGAUUUAUAAAUAAGCAUUUCUACGUUCUUUGCAUAAAAUAUCUACUCUUAAAAUCAUUGUUUUAUAUUCACAAAGCUUAUUCAGUUACUGUGUAUCUUUAAAAUCUAACAAAAUGAAAACAUUGUAUUUGGUAGAAGAGCUGAGAAUUUAAAACUUUUUCCACUCUAACCUUUUUAAGGUCAGUUGUAAUAUAUUGAUAUUUGAGUGCAUACAUGUACUGCCUGUCACAAGGCCAGAUGAUUUUCCCCUGACAAUAGAAAAGACAUCAGAACUUAAGGGAAUGCUUAAGUUUCCCAAGUUUGGAAGACUACUGAGAUUGUAGGCAGGCUUGAGGAAAGGGAGUUUUCAGAUAGUUCCUUGGCUAUUUCUAUAGAGUAAGUACUGUUUGAGGAAUGAUAAUGAUGAGUGAGAUGGUAGAGGAAAAAAUGGUUAUAACAGACAAAAUGUGCAGACCUUCCUUGAUCCUGAGUGUGAGGUAAACGUAAACGUACUUGAAAUGGCUUUGUUUUGUUUUUAAGUAGAUCAGUAGUACCAGUUUGCAGGGGUCACCUGAGUCAUCAUUGUACUUUGCCUCACAUUUUCCUGUGUGCGUUACCUUUUCCAUGCUAAUGUGUUUAAGGUUGAAGAAAGAUAGUUCUUUGUAUUGUCACAAAACAUGAAUUUAACAUACACAGAGAAAGGAGCAAAAUCUGAAUCUUCAUUCCAAAAUACAUACCACCAACCAUGACCAGUGAGAGAGAUGACUCAGACAGUACGGACACUUGCCACUAAAGGCUGAUUACCUCGUUCAACGAUGCUCAUGAUGGAACAACUUCCACAAGUUAUCCUCUAAUUUCCACAUGACUCCUGUCUUCCCCCAAUAAAUAUUGAUAAUUUUAAAAAUCAAUUCAAAGUAAACCCUGCACUUGAACUUGCAUUUUAUUGGAUGUAGCUAAUAUGACAGAACUGAUGAUAGCCCUGGAGUGUUUUGGAUACCUUGCUCCAGAGUCUUAAGUUUCUAGCUUACUCUGUAAUCCAAGCCUUGUGUUAAUUGUCCUGGCUCUUCUAGUGUUUGUGUUUAUUUGUUCUUCCAAAAGGACACAAACAUGUAUGAUCCUAAAGCAGUGUCCCCAAGUUGUAAAUAUAAGUAAUGGUGUUUGAUCGGGUUAGUAGUGUCAUGAGUGACUGUUACAAACAGGGUACUGAUACACUUGUCCUAAUAUGGAUACCCCCUGUAUUACUCUUAUUAGGUGAGUGUCAUAUUUCUUCCUUUGCCAAAAACACCCAUUGUCUCUGUGGAGGGAGAAAGGGGGCCAGAGCGGGGUGGCAGAAGACUGGGCUACGGUCGGGAAGGAGCAGGAUAUUGAGUUACAGGCAGGUGCAUCAGAUUUAGAUAGGAAUGUCCCUAGUUUUCUGAACUAGAACAGAAAGUCUACAGUAGUUCAAAGCCCAUUACUACUUAUUAUCUCCUCUCUUGAAAAGCUUGAAUUUUAUUGGGCUAUAGGAUAGUAAUAUAGGAAUUAGGCAAAGAGGAGGAGAAUUUGAGGUGUACAAAUUUCUGGACUUCAUUUUAAGUGGAGCUAUUUCAUUUAGAUAACUAAACCCCUGCUUAGUGUGACUUGAGAUUCAAAUUGUAAUUUCCACUUUCUGUUUAGAGCUGCAGUUUUACAAGAGGGGAUAGAGUUGUAUAAAAAAAAUGAGAUCUUGGGAGUUUUAAAGGAAUGGACCCCAUCCAGACAUUUUAGAUUUGUUUUCCCAAUUUUAUUGGAGUUUUAUAUUACAAAGAGAAACAUCUUAUAUCCUAUUUUGUUUUAAAAUAUAGGCAAAUAACUGUUUUAAAUAGUGUAAAUAGACCUGCUUUAAAUGUUUUCAUUGUAAAACCACAUUACCUAUCAAAGCCUUGCAAACUUUUCUAAUCUUGUUCUUAUAAUUACUUCAGUAUAUCUUAGUUCAUCUUACAUUUGGACAAAUUUUGAAACCAGAAAAGCAAAGGAAUAAAAAAGGGGAAACUCUUUGGUGACCUCAAACAUUUAAUAUGUCUUCCAUUUUAAAUAAUGAAUACUAUGCUUGUAAGAUUAAAUAUAUAUUAUAAAUUCACUCAGUUGAAUCCCCCACCUUCCUUUAGUGAAUCACAUUUUUAGUAUACAGUCACAUAGCAAUGUAUUAUUUACUGUAAAGUAAGCUUUACAUAUUAUAGUUGGAGGUAUACAUGCAAAGCUGCUGCACUAGUUUAGGAAUACAUGACUUUUUUCUUUUAUCUGUAAAUGCCACUUCAGUUGCCCUCAGCUUUCACUAGUGGGUUAUAUCCCAAAGGUCAGAGUUGGAAUUUUUCUGCAUAGAACUUUUCUCCUUUUUCAUUCUGUACUGUACUAAUUACAAAUAUAAUUUACAAAUAUCUCUAUUACUUAUGCUCUAUACUGUCUAACAACUAUGAAGGUACUACAUAUUUAUAAGUGGAAGUCAGAAAAUAUGCAAAAGAAUGUAAAGGCACUCCUCUAAGAGAGAAAGAAAGAAAAAAAGAAAGAAAGAAAGAAAGAAAGAAAGAGAGAGAGAGAGAGAGAGAU
rnacentral:lncRNA from 1 species